rnacentral:rRNA from 1 species
AUUGAACGCUGGCGGCAGGCUUAACACAUGCAAGUCGAGCGAGCGGCGGACGGGUGAGUAAUGUCUGGGAAACUGCCUGAUGGAGGGGGAUAACUACUGGAAACGGUAGCUAAUACCGCAUACCAUCAGAUGUGCCCAGAUGGGAUUAGCUAGUAGGUGGGGUAAUGGCUCACCUGGGCGACGAUCCCUAGCUGGUCUGAUAGGAUGACCAGCCACACUGGAACAGAGACACGGACCAGACUCCUACAGAAGGCAGCGGUGGGGAAUAUUGCGCAAUGGGCGCAAGCCUGAUGCAGCCAUGCCGCGUGUGUGAAGAAGGCCUUCGGGUGGUAAAGCACUUUCAGCGAGGAGGCGUUACUCGCAGAAGAAGCACCGGCUAACUCCGUGCCAGCAGCCGCGGUAAUUC